rnacentral:rRNA from 1 species
GGGGGAAUAUUGGACAAUGGGGGCAACCCUGAUCCAGCCAUGCCGCGUGAGUGAUGAAGGCCUUAGGGUUGUAAAGCUCUUUCGCUAGGGAAGAUAAUGACGGUACCUAGAGAAGAAGCCCCGGCUAACUUCGUGCCAGCAGCCGCGGUAAUACGAAGGGGGCUAGCGUUGUUCGGAAUUACUGGGCGUAAAGCGCACGUAGGCGGACAUUUAGGUCAGGGGUGAAAUCCCAGGGCUCAACCCUGGAACUGCCUUUGAUACUGGGUGUCUUGAGUACGAGAGAGGUGAGUGGAAUUCCGAGUGUAGAGGUGAAAUUCGUAGAUAUUCGGAAGAACACCAGUGGCGAAGGCGGCUCACUGGCUCGUAACUGACGCUGAGGUGCGAAAGCGUGGGGAGCAA